UGGAAGACCGGUGAUUUUGUUGUU
rnacentral:miRNA from 1 species